rfam:Cavia porcellus supercont2_10 genomic scaffold, whole genome shotgun sequence.
GGGGGUUUAGCUCAGCGGCAUAAGCGCCUGCCUUGCAAGCAGGCAGUUGUGAGUUCAAUCCCCG